rnacentral:rRNA from 1 species
ACACGUAGGGGGCGAGCGUUGUCCGGAAUUACUGGGUGUAAAGGGCGUGUAGGCGGGGGUGCAAGUCGUCGGUAAAAACCCGUAGCUCAACUACGGGCUUGCCGGUGAAACUGUAUCUCUUGAGUUCAGGAGAGGGAAGUGGAAUUUCCGGAGUAGCGGUGAAAUGCGUAGAUACCGGAAAGAAUACCAGUGGCGAAGGCGGCUUCCUAUUCUGCAACUGACGCUGAGACGCGAAAGCUAGGGUAGCGAACGGGAUUAGAUACCCCGGUAGUCCUAGCUGUAAACGAUGGUCACUAGGUGUAGGUAGUGUCAAGCUAUCUGUGCCGGCGUUAACGCAAUAAGUGACCCACCUGGGGACUACGGCCGCAAGGCUGAA